rnacentral:tRNA from 1 species
CCAUACCCCAGUGGUAAAGCGGUGCCUCUGCAAUUGGAGAUCCUGGGUUCAAAUCCCAGUGG